rnacentral:rRNA from 1 species
CCUACGGGUGGCAGCAGUCGAGAAUCAUUCACAAUGGGGGAAACCCUGAUGGUGCGACGCCGCGUGGGGGAAUGAAGGUCUUCGGAUUGUAAACCCCUGUCAUGUGGGAGCAAAUUAAAAAGAUAGUACCACAAGAGGAAGAGACGGCUAACCCUGUGCCAGCAGCCGCGGUAAUACAGCGGUCUCAAGCGUUGUUCGGAAUCACUGGGCGUAAAGCGUGCGUAGGCUGUUUCGUAAGUCGUGUGUGAAAGGCGCGGGCUCAACCCGCGGACGGCACAUGAUACUGCGAGACUAGAGUAGUGGAGGGGGAACCGGAAUUCUCGGUGUAGCAGUGAAAUGCGUAGAUAUCGAGAGGAACACUCGUGGCGAAGGCGGGUUCCUGGACAUUAACUGACGCUGAGGCACGAAGGCCAGGGGAGCGAAAGGGAUUAGAUACCCUAGUAGUC